rnacentral:rRNA from 1 species
GCGCGAAAACUUUACAAUGCGGGCAACCGUGAUAAGGGAACCUCGAGUGCCNGUAAAUGCAGGCUGUUCAGGUGCUUAAAACACACCUGAAGAAAGGGCCGGGCAAGACCCGGUGCCAGCCGCCGCGGUAAUACCGGCGGCUCGAGUGGUGGCCGCUUUUAUUGGGCUUAAAGCGUUCGUAGCUGGGUUGUUAAGUCUCUUGGGAAAUCUGGCGGCUUAACCGUCAGGCGUNUAAGGGAUACUGGCAAUCUUGGAACCGGGAGAGGUGAGGGGUACUUCGGGGGUAGGAGUGAAAUCCUGUAAUCCUCGAGGGACCACCUGUGGCGAAGGCGCNCUCACCAGAACGG